GGCCCAUAUUCCUACGGGAAGCAGCAGUGAGGAAUUUUUCACAAUGGACGAAAGUCUGAUGGAGCAAUACCACGUGAACGAUGAAGAUCUUCUGAUUGUAAAGUUCUUUUAUUUAGGAAAAAAAGCUUGAUAGGAAAUGAUUAAGCCUUGAUCGUACUAAAUGAAUAAGUGACAGCUAACUAUGUGCCAGCAGCUGCGGUAAAACAUAGGUCACGAGCAUUAUCCGGAUUUAUUGGGCGUAAAGGAAGCGUAGGCGGACAAGUUGAUCUAUUGUGAAAAGCACUUGCUCAACAAGUUGUUUGUGAUAGAUAUCGCUUGUCUAGAAUUAGUUAGGAGAUACUGGAAUUCAAUGUGUAGCGGUGGAAUGCGUAGAUAUAUUGAGGAACACCAGAGGCUAAGGCGAGUAUCUAGAACAUAAUUGACGCUGAGGCUUGAAAGCGUGGGGAGCAAAUGGGAUUAGAUACCCCAGUAGUCCACGCCGUAAACGAUGGGUAUUAGGUAUUUGAUAUAAGAUUGAGUGCUGUAGCUAACGCGUUAAAUACCCCGCCUGGGUAGUAUAUAUGCAAAUAUGAAACUCAAAGAAAUUGACGGGGACCUGAACAAGUGGUGGAGCAUGUUGCUUAAUUCGAUAAUACACGAAAAACCUUACCGAGGCUUGUAAUCUUUUGCAAAGCUAUAGAAAUAUAGUGGAGGCUAUCAGAAUGACAGGUGGUGCAUGGCUGUCGUCAGCUCGUGUCUUGAGAUGUUUGGUUAAGUCCCGUAACGAGCGCAACCCUACUCUUUAGUUAACCAGUUCUAAAGUGACUGAAUCGUAAGAUAUAGGAAGGUUGGGGCCAAGUCAAGUCAUCAUGCCCCUUAUGCCUCGGGCUGCAAACGUGCUACAAUGGUAGGUACAAUGUGUUGCAAUCUAGCAAUAGUGAGCAAAUCACCCAAAACCUAUCUCAGUCCGGAUAAAAGGCUGCAAUUCGCCUAUUUGAAGUUGGAAUCACUAGUAAUCCUGU
rnacentral:rRNA from 1 species